CAAUUAUGACAACUACGUUGAUGGUUGUAAAGCCGUACAGUAGAUGGAUAUGCGAAAGCAAGAGUAAUGUUGUGAGUCAUCUUGCACAGCUUUGCUUGAAUUGAACAUUGAUUCCCUAGCGUUACUUUAUCCUAAUGGUGCAUUCUAACUUCUAAACUUUCUUGGGUGAUCCCUCAGCAAUUCAUUUUGAUAAGCUUAUUGCCUGAUGAGAUCAUAGGUAGAAGGCCACGAUAGCUACUUUUUUCUGUGUAAUGUCAAUUUUUUUGGCUUGGUAAAGCUAUGUGUUAUUGUCGUAUUUUGAAUUCUAACCUUGCACUUCUACCUUCAAGCCACUCUCGUUAGGCCGGUCGAGUGCUCGGUCCCUUUUCAUUAAUUCCUUUGAAGGAAACCCAUAUCGAUUGAUCUAGAAGUUUAAACAUUCAUCAUAUCAUUAUGGACACUCUAGAAGUUGCGAUUUGACAAGUUCGUACCGUAUAUUUUUAAACUUUAAGGUACACCUUACUUAGGCACACAUUAGUGAUGAAAAAAUAAGGGGAGUAACAAUGUCAUAUCAUUAGGGACAACACUAGGGACGACGCAUUUGUACACUAUAACUAGAGAGAACAAUAUACACCAAGAAUCUAAGGUCCUACUUCCAAAUACAUUGCACCUUGAAAAAAAACCAAUGGCUUUACCCUAAUCAUGAGCACCAAACAAAGAUCAACCGACAAAGGGAGGGGGGAGAAACUCCAUUCCUAAAGAUCAUAUGAAAUGACCUUGAACUUCAAUGGGUCUAAGUUCAGAACGCAAAUUAAGAAAAUCUUCACAUCCUCGGGGAAAUUUUCUGAGCCAAGCAUUCACGUCACUCUAAGUAAGACAGUCAUCUUGAUUUAGUACUUUCAUUGGCUUGUUGAAUAUCUGGAAUUCCAGUACUUCUCGAUUUCUUCAGCUGUCCUCCCUGGGAUUCUACCAGCAAUUAGAGACCACCUGAUCACGGAUGAUAUAAUUUUGGCUCAGUAAUUUCAUAUUUGCAAAAAAAAAAAA